rnacentral:rRNA from 1 species
GAUGAACGCUGGCGGCGUGCCUAACACAUGCAAGUCGAGCGGAGAUAUAGGAAGUAGCAAUACGGAAUAUAUCUUAGCGGCGGACGGGUGAGUAACACGUGAGUAACCUACCUUAUACAGGGGAAUAACACCGUGAAAACGGUGCUAAUACCGCAUAACAUUAUCUUGUGGCAUCGCAGGAUAAUCAAAGGAGCAAUCCGGUAAAAGAUGGACUCGCGUCCGAUUAGCUAGUUGGUGAGGUAAAGGCCCACCAAGGCGACGAUCGGUAGCCGAACUGAGAGGUUGAUCGGCCACAUUGGGACUGAGACACGGCCCAGACUCCUACGGGAGGCAG